rnacentral:rRNA from 1 species
AUUGAACGCUGGCGGCAGGCCUAACACAUGCAAGUCGAACGAGUGGCGGACGGGUGAGUAAUGUCUGGGAAACUGCCUGAUGGAGGGGGAUAACUACCGGAAACGGUAGCUAAUACCGCCUACCAUAAGCUGUGCCCAGAUGGGAAUAGCUUGUGGGUGGGGUAACGGCGCACCAAGGCGACGAACCCUAGCUGGGCUGAGCGGAUGAACAGCCACACUGGAACGGAGACACGGUCCAGACUCCUACGGGAGGCAGCAGUGGGGAAUAUUGCACAAUGGGCGCAAGCCUGAUGCAGCCAUGCCGCGUGUAUGAAGAAGGCCUUCGGGUUGUAAAGUACUUUCAGCGGGGAGGCGUUACCCGCAGAAGAAGCACCGGCUAACUCCGUGCCAGCAGCCGCGGUAAUAC